UCUCUCUCCCUCUCUCAAAAACUUUUUCUUUUUUUGUUGGUUUAGGGGAUUAUGUUUGUGAGCAUAAUGAUUUAGUAGUAGGUUAGUUAAUUGAUGAAUUGAUAUUGAAUUUCAGGGAAGAGUUUGAGAUAGGGGAGUGUGAAACAAGGGAUUCAUGUAGUGAUACCUUGAGCGAUGAGAGUGAGUGUGAGAAGUUAUGGAGAUGGGAUGGGAGUUCCUCAGAAGAAGGUGGAAUGAAUAAUGUAGAACAAAAUUCUCAUCAAUUGCAUUUUAAUGAUAGAUUAGGUCAUCUCUAUUGCCAAUACUUUGAGGAUCAACUCCAUAUGGAAGAGUUCCUCUAAUGGAUAAGUUGACUGAACAAAAAUUGACAAGAAAGGAAGGUAUAAGCUUUUCUUGUUUGAGGUUACUUGCUAAGAUUAAAGCCUCGCUAUCUUUCACUUGAAACUUCUGAAGGUUUUGAUAAAUUUUACCACCAAUAGAAGUAGGAGGCUAAUCUGAUUCAAUCUGCUCUUAUUGUCAAUUAUUUCUAUUUCCAUCUCAAUGUGUUCCUGUCCUAAAUAACAUUGUUCAUCUUUUGUUGUUUAGGAAGCUUGCAGACAAGAUUGCAGCUUCUGGUUACUAUGUGGUUGUUCCGGACUUCUUUUAUGGUGAACCCUAUGAUCCUCAGAAUACUAAUAGACCUUUAGGAGAGUGGCUAAAAGAUCAUGGAACGGUUAGUUCUUUUUAAUGAUUCAACAUUAUUUCUUUGUUCAUAAUGAUUCAACAUUAUUUCUCCAUGAUCCAAACCACAAGCUGCAAAUCCACCAUAUCCUCUCUCAUCCUCUCCUCUUUCUCCAAUGAAACAUCUCAGUUCCUGCUGUGAUUCGAUCCUCUGCUGAUUGGAAGAACACUAGGAAGAACAAAAAGUGCAGAAGGAGGAAUACUAAAAAAAGCAGCAUAACAUGUCACCAUAAACAUGCUUCUUCUUCUUUUCAGGAUGUAUGGUGUGGCCCUGGAAUUGGAUUCGCAUCAGAUUAUGCUUCUGCUUCUGUGGAUUGUGUGGUGGCAAGGAAGAAUGCUUCUUCAAGAAGGAACCUUGAUGCUGUUGAGAGAGCAACACAUAGGGAAGAGUGUAGAUCGGAUAUAGUAAGGUAGACAUCCUCUGCUCAGAAAGUGGGAAGCAGCGAAUAAUUUUGAUGGACCAAGAAUCUCAAGAAGUAAGUAUAUUGCCAUCAUCACUAAGAAGCUCAAGAAAGAAUGAAGCUAUCCAUAAAUUAGGAUAUUGAAUCUUGAUGAGUCCACUAGUAGUUAUUUGUCAUCUAAUGUAUUUAGAUUGUAUUAU